GACGAACGCUGGCGGCGUGCUUAUCACAUGCAAGUCGAACGGAAAGGCCCUGCUUUUGUGGGGUGCUCGAGUGGCGAACGGGUGAGUAACACGUGAGUAACCUGCCCUUGACUUUGGGAUAACUUCAGGAAACUGGGGCUAAUACCGGAUAGGAGCUCCUGCUGCAUGGUGGGGGUUGGAAAGUUUCGGCGGUUGGGGAUGGACUCGCGGCUUAUCAGCUUGUUGGUGGGGUAGUGGCUUACCAAGGCUUUGACGGGUAGCCGGCCUGGGGGGGUGACCGGCCACAUUGGGACUGGGAUACGGCCCAGACUCCUACGGGAGGCAGCAGUGGGGAAUAUUGCACAAUGGGCGGAAGCCUGAUGCAGCAACGCCGCGUGCGGGAUGACGGCCUUCGGGUUGUAAACCGCUUUCGCCUGUGACGAAGCGUGAGUGACGGUAAUGGGUAAAGAAGCACCGGCUAACUACGUG
rnacentral:rRNA from 1 species